rnacentral:rRNA from 1 species
GAUGAACGCUGGCUGCGUGCCUAAUACAUGCAAGUCGAGCGAACAGAUGAGGAGCUUGCUCCUCUGACGUUAGCGGCGGACGGGUGAGUAACACGUGGAUAACCUACCUAUAAGACUGGGAUAACUUCGGGAAACCGGAGCUAAUAUCGGAUAAUAUAUUGAACCGCAUGGUUCAAUAGUGAAAGACGGUUUUGCUGUCACUUAUAGAUGGAUCCGCGCCGCAUUAGCUAGUUGGUAAGGUAACGGCUUACCAAGGCAACGAUGCGUAGCCGACCUGAGAGGGUGAUCGGCCACACUGGAACUGAGACACGGUCCAGACUCCUACGGGAGGCAGCAGUAGGGAAUCUUCCGCAAUGGGCGAAAGCCUGACGGAGCAACGCCGCGUGAGUGAUGAAGGUCUUCGGAUCGUAAAACUCUGUUAUUAGGGAAGAACAAAUGUGUAAGUAACUAUGCACGUCUUGACGGUACCUAAUCAGAAAGCCACGGCUAACUACGUG